UACGUAGGGUGCGAGCGUUGUCCGGAAUUAUUGGGCGUAAAGAGCUUGUAGGCGGUUUGUCGCGUCUGCCGUGAAAUUUCGAGGCUCAACCUCGAACUUGCGGUGGGUACGGGCAGACUAGAGUGAUGUAGGGGAGACUGGAAUUCCUGGUGUAGCGGUGAAAUGCGCAGAUAUCAGGAGGAACACCGAUGGCGAAGGCAGGUCUCUGGGCAUUAACUGACGCUGAGGAGCGAAAGCAUGGGGAGCGAACAGG
rnacentral:rRNA from 1 species